rnacentral:rRNA from 1 species
UACGUAGGGGGCAAGCGUUGUCCGGAAUCAUUGGGCGUAAAGAGCUCGUAGGCGGCUUGUCGCGUCGUCCGUGAAAACCUGCAGCUCAACUGCAGGCUUGCGGUCGAUACGGGCAGGCUGGAGUUCGGUAGGGGAGACUGGAAUUCCUGGUGUAGCGGUGAAAUGCGCAGAUAUCAGGAGGAACACCGGUGGCGAAGGCGGGUCUCUGGGCCAGUAACUGACGCUGAGGAGCGAAAGCGUGGGGAGCGAACAGG